CGGCUGCACGUAUUUGAUCGGACUGUGACGCUGCGCCUUCUCCGCAGACCUCCCCCCCUCCACACACGCAGAGACAGACAGCUGCAGACGUUUGCUCGGGUACGUCGGCCGCACUCCUCAAGCCUGGGCCAAGGGUGCUGCCCAACUCCAUCGGCGCCUCGCAUCUCCCUUUGUGAGGCGACGCCUUACCCAACACCUUUUCUCUGUCCGCAUCAUCCUCCCAGUCCGCUGCCGUCCAUUGCCGAGAGGAGUAAGCGCGAGAUUUGAGAGAAAAGCCAAGCAACAGCGCCGAGGCAAGAUGCCGCCGCGAGCAGCUACGCGCACGGUGCGCCUCCGCCAGUCGCCGCGGGCUGUGGCACACACGGAGCGCUUGAAGCUGCUCACGUACCCCAUGGCACUCGCCCAGCGAGGUGCUACAGUGCCGCUCAUCCACAGCCCUACCAUGAAUGCUGGCCACGUGAGCGGCCCGGCAACGCGACUUCUUGCUGACACACUGAGCUGCUUCAACAGGGGCGGUGGUGGCGGCGGGGCUCGACGACCCCCCGCGGCGAGAGCGUACAACGAGUGUGUGGAAGGCUCGUCCGGUGUAGCCGCAUCCAGCGAAGAGGAUGGCGACGCUACCGGCGCGCAGACGCUCCCGGCCCCGCGGCGAUGGGUGCGCGAUGCCGACGAACUUUGCGUUGCCUCCAUCCGCCGCAGCAACAACAUCAAUCGCAUCAACUCCUACAUAGCCACGUACAAGCUUGGCGACCCGCAGUGGCGUCCGCUACUGCUACCGGAGGUGCACGUGCUGCCCAAGGCGCGCACUGCUAGCACCGACACACCGAAGACGGCAGGCGCACAGGAGCAGCAGGCGACGGGCCACUCCUGUCGUCUCUCUUCCUCGGCAGCAUCGAGUACCGUGGACGGAUACGACGUCUUCAUCGACUACAACAAGCUGACGACGCUGGAGCUCAUGUCGAGGCAUGCCAACUACGCACUGCGCCACCUCGUCCAGAAGGGUCAUGCCAUGUAUCUUGUGACCUUCGCCCAGCACUCGGUGGUGCAGAUGCGCGGCUUGGUGGAGGCGUCCUACAUAAGCUGUGCGUACGGCAUUCGUGGGGAGCGGCUGCGCACGCACAUCAUCCACACGGGCCCCGUUGACGUGCGCGAGGUGCUGGAGAUAGACCCCGUGACGCUGCGCGUGUCCUUCGACUUACAGAAGCAGCACGUGCGCCGCGGUGUGGUGGCCGUGUCCACUGUGGAGGGCUACGGAACCUGGUUUCAGCGCAAGCCGAUGCUCUGGCAGCGCACGCGCCGCAUCGGCGCUCUGCAGAGUCAGAUGGGCUCCUACGACUACCAGCUGUGCGACAGCGCCGAGGUGGGGCGGCUGCGCCCGUACGAAGUCUCGCUGCUCGCACCGCACGUGCGUCUGAUCGGCGUCCAGGGCGGGGCCGACGCUGUAGCCCUCAUCGCCUCCUCACAAGUUGCUCAGAACGAGCGGCUUUACAUGGGGCAGUUCGAGGCACCGGUGCUCACAGCCGUGGACGCCGUGCAUCAGCUCAUCCAUCGCACCGCAUUGCACCAUCAACUGCUGCGGCCUGCACUGACGGAGGAAGCCAGUGGCGACGCUGCGGUGCCGGCGACGGCGGCGUUGGAGGACCCGCAGCUACAGGAGCUGCGCCGCCUCGCCGGGAUGGAGCGCUUCCUCCCGGUCAGUUGGGUGACCCGCACCCCACCGCCGUACGUGCCACUCGAGUCGGACCUUCCUUUCCGCAUUCAGCUCUCCCGCCCCGCUGUGAUUCGCACCGAUGCGCGCAGCACGCAGACCGGCGGCACGGCGGACAGCAACGCGGCCAUUGUCUUUCCCACUGGCGGCUCCGUCGGCUCGCCGUUUGUGAGGGGGGUGCCGCUGAGCCUCUUCGAGUACAACAUCCACCAGGGCGUCGACCACUACAUCUUCGACGACGCCCCCAGCGCGCGGCCGCUCAAGUGGUGGAACCAAAAGUCAAACAUGCCGUACAGCGGCUACGUGUACGGCAUGCGGAGCGGUCUGCUGGACCGCGUCGAGCCGGCAGAGAAAAUACCGAACCCACUUGCGCCGCCAGCCGUGGCAGCGGCGUCGGCGACACCUGCGAAGUCAGGGCGCCGGCGCAAGAGGCGCGCUGCACGUGCACGGCGGCAUACCUUUUCUGCGGGCAGUACGGUGGGGGCGGCGAGUGAGGUCUCGCUCUCUGCGAUAGAAGAGGUGGCAGACGUGGUGGAGCGGGCAGCGCCGAGCUCUUCCCCCUCUUCUUCACCGCAUGUAGGCGACGCUGAGGACGAUAGGCCGCUGAACCUGGCGGCGGAGGAACUAGCCGCCGGCGAGGAAGAGCUUACCGGGUAUGAGGAUGACAGUCGACGAGAGGCGGCCUUGGCUUGGGCUGAAGAUGGCAUGGACAUUUCCGUGGAAGAUCGGCCACCGCUGCACACUCUUGUGGCACCUACGACGGCUGCCCGGCGACGUCUGCGGCGUUAUGCGAAGGCGUCGCCAUUGCCGUCAAGCGCUGGUGCUGCGUCCUCUUCAUCGGGAGCAUUGGAGACCCGAGCGAAUAUGCUGCUGCAGCGGCAGGUGCGGCUGCGGCUAAUGCGACGGCGACGAAACGCGCAAGGAGCGUCGCCGCUGCCGCCCAAGGACGGCGCGCGCCCUCCUGACGCUACCUCUGACGAGAAGGCUCUGUAGGCCACGUGUGUGCGUGUUGUCAUAGCAUAUCUUCGGCACUCUUGCUUUUCUCCGCGUCUUUCCUUUAACGCUCGCAUGUUGUGGGAGAAGGCGCGUCUGGCCGCCUAUCUGUGUGUGUGU
rnacentral:misc_RNA from 1 species